rnacentral:rRNA from 2 species
CUUGGGGGAACUUUGCUCCGAAGUUAGCGGCGGACGGGUGAGUAACACGUGGGCAACCUGCCUAUAAGACUGGGAUAACUUCGGGAAACCGGAGCUAAUACCGGAUAAUCCUUUUCUACACAUGUAGAAAAGCUGAAAGAUGGUUUCGGCUAUCACUUAUAGAUGGGCCCGCGGCGCAUUAGCUAGUUGGUGAGGUAACGGCUCACCAAGGCAACGAUGCGUAGCCGACCUGAGAGGGUGAUCGGCCACACUGGGACUGAGACACGGCCCAGACUCCUACGGGAGGCAGCAGUAGGGAAUCUUCCGCAAUGGACGAAAGUCUGACGGAGCAACGCCGCGUGAGUGAUGAAGGUUUUCGGAUCGUAAAACUCUGUUGUUAGGGAAGAACAAGUAUCGGAGUAACUGCCGGUACCUUGACGGUACCUAACCAGAAAGCCACGGCUAACUACGUGCCAGCAGCCGGCGGUAAUUA